AGUGGACCCGGCAUGGCUGGGUGGCUCGGCCGGACGCCUAUCCUCCGGACAACC
rnacentral:ncRNA from 1 species